GGGUUGUGAGGUUAAGCGACUAAGCGUACACGGUGGAUGCCCUGGCAGUCAGAGGCGAUGAAGGACGUGCUAAUCUGCGAUAAGCGUCGGUGAGGUGAUAUGAACCGUUAUAACCGGCGAUUUCCGAAUGGGGAAACCCAGUGUGUUUCGACACACUAUCAUUAACUGAAUCCAUAGGUUAAUGAGGCGAACCGGGGGAACUGAAACAUCUAAGUACCCCGAGGAAAAGAAAUCAACCGAGAUUCCCCCAGUAGCGGCGAGCGAACGGGGAGGAGCCCAGAGCCUGAAUCAGUGUGUGUGUUAGUGGAAGCGUCUGGAAAGGCGCGCGAUACAGGGUGACAGCCCCGUACACAAAAAUGCACAUAUUGUGAGCUCGAUGAGUAGGGCGGGACACGUGGUAUCCUGUCUGAAUAUGGGGGGACCAUCCUCCAAGGCUAAAUACUCCUGACUGACCGAUAGUGAACCAGUACCGUGAGGGAAAGGCGAAAAGAACCCCGGCGAGGGGAGUGAAAAAGAACCUGAAACCGUGUACGUACAAGCAGUGGGAGCCUCUUAAUGGGGUGACUGCGUACCUUUUGUAUAAUGGGUCAGCGACUUAUAUUCUGUAGCAAGGUUAACCGAAUAGGGGAGCCGAAGGGAAACCGAGUCUUAACUGGGCGUUAAGUUGCAGGGUAUAGACCCGAAACCCGGUGAUCUAGCCAUGGGCAGGUUGAAGGUUGGGUAACACUAACUGGAGGACCGAACCGACUAAUGUUGAAAAAUUAGCGGAUGACUUGUGGCUGGGGGUGAAAGGCCAAUCAAACCGGGAGAUAGCUGGUUCUCCCCGAAAGCUAUUUAGGUAGCGCCUCGUGAAUUCAUCUCCGGGGGUAGAGCACUGUUUCGGCAAGGGGGUCAUCCCGACUUACCAACCCGAUGCAAACUGCGAAUACCGGAGAAUGUUAUCACGGGAGACACACGGCGGGUGCUAACGUCCGUCGUGAAGAGGGAAACAACCCAGACCGCCAGCUAAGGUCCCAAAGUCAUGGUUAAGUGGGAAACGAUGUGGGAAGGCCCAGACAGCCAGGAUGUUGGCUUAGAAGCAGCCAUCAUUUAAAGAAAGCGUAAUAGCUCACUGGUCGAGUCGGCCUGCGCGGAAGAUGUAACGGGGCUAAACCAUGCACCGAAGCUGCGGCAGCGACACUAUGUGUUGUUGGGUAGGGGAGCGUUCUGUAAGCCUGUGAAGGUGGCCUGUGAGGGUUGCUGGAGGUAUCAGAAGUGCGAAUGCUGACAUAAGUAACGAUAAAGCGGGUGAAAAGCCCGCUCGCCGGAAGACCAAGGGUUCCUGUCCAACGUUAAUCGGGGCAGGGUGAGUCGACCCCUAAGGCGAGGCCGAAAGGCGUAGUCGAUGGGAAACAGGUUAAUAUUCCUGUACUUGGUGUUACUGCGAAGGGGGGACGGAGAAGGCUAUGUUGGCCGGGCGACGGUUGUCCCGGUUUAAGCGUGUAGGCUGGUUUUCCAGGCAAAUCCGGAAAACCAAGGCUGAGGCGUGAUGACGAGGCACUACGGUGCUGAAGCGACAAAUGCCCUGCUUCCAGGAAAAGCCUCUAAGCAUCAGGUAACAUCAAAUCGUACCCCAAACCGACACAGGUGGUCAGGUAGAGAAUACCAAGGCGCUUGAGAGAACUCGGGUGAAGGAACUAGGCAAAAUGGUGCCGUAACUUCGGGAGAAGGCACGCUGAUAUGUAGGUGAAGCGACUUGCUCGUGGAGCUGAAAUCAGUCGAAGAUACCAGCUGGCUGCAACUGUUUAUUAAAAACACAGCACUGUGCAAACACGAAAGUGGACGUAUACGGUGUGACGCCUGCCCGGUGCCGGAAGGUUAAUUGAUGGGGUUAGCGGUAACGCGAAGCUCUUGAUCGAAGCCCCGGUAAACGGCGGCCGUAACUAUAACGGUCCUAAGGUAGCGAAAUUCCUUGUCGGGUAAGUUCCGACCUGCACGAAUGGCGUAAUGAUGGCCAGGCUGUCUCCACCCGAGACUCAGUGAAAUUGAACUCGCUGUGAAGAUGCAGUGUACCCGCGGCAAGACGGAAAGACCCCGUGAACCUUUACUAUAGCUUGACACUGAACAUUGAGCCUUGAUGUGUAGGAUAGGUGGGAGGCUUUGAAGUGUGGACGCCAGUCUGCAUGGAGCCGACCUUGAAAUACCACCCUUUAAUGUUUGAUGUUCUAACGUUGGCCCCUAAUCGGGGUUGCGGACAGUGUCUGGUGGGUAGUUUGACUGGGGCGGUCUCCUCCUAAAGAGUAACGGAGGAGCACGAAGGUUGGCUAAUCCUGGUCGGACAUCAGGAGGUUAGUGCAAUGGCAUAAGCCAGCUUGACUGCGAGCGUGACGGCGCGAGCAGGUGCGAAAGCAGGUCAUAGUGAUCCGGUGGUUCUGAAUGGAAGGGCCAUCGCUCAACGGAUAAAAGGUACUCCGGGGAUAACAGGCUGAUACCGCCCAAGAGUUCAUAUCGACGGCGGUGUUUGGCACCUCGAUGUCGGCUCAUCACAUCCUGGGGCUGAAGUAGGUCCCAAGGGUAUGGCUGUUCGCCAUUUAAAGUGGUACGCGAGCUGGGUUUAGAACGUCGUGAGACAGUUCGGUCCCUAUCUGCCGUGGGCGCUGGAGAACUGAGGGGGGCUGCUCCUAGUACGAGAGGACCGGAGUGGACGCAUCACUGGUGUUCGGGUUGUCAUGCCAAUGGCACUGCCCGGUAGCUAAAUGCGGAAGAGAUAAGUGCUGAAAGCAUCUAAGCACGAAACUUGCCCCGAGAUGAGUUCUCCCUGAGACUUAGAGUCUCCUGAAGGAACGUUGAAGACGACGACGUUGAUAGGCCGGGUGUGUAAGCGCAGCGAUGCGUUGAGCUAACCGGUACUAAUGAACCGUGAGGCUUAACCUUACAACGCCGAAG
rnacentral:rRNA from 1 species